rnacentral:rRNA from 1 species
AAUAACAGCCAUACCACCCUGAACGUGCCCGAUCUCGUCUGAUCUCGGAAGCUCAGCAGGGUCGGGCCUGGUUAGUACUUGGAUGGGAGAAAAAUUGUUUAGAGAGGAAAAGAACUCAUGAGUCUUGUUC